GAAGAACGCUGGCGGCGUGCUAAUACAUCCAAGUCGGAUUUACACAGCGAAAGGUGCUUGCACCUUUCAUUUGAGUGGCGAACGGGUGAGUAACACGUGGACAACCUGCCUCAAGCGCUGGGGAUAACAUUUGGAAACAGAUGCUAAUACCGAAUAAAACUUAGUGUCGCAUGACACAAAGUUAAAAGGCGCUUCGGCGUCACUAGAGAUGGAUCCUGCGGUGCAUUAGUUAGUUGGUGGGGUAACAGUGACAUACC
rnacentral:rRNA from 1 species